rnacentral:rRNA from 1 species
GACGAACGCUGGCGGCGUGCCUAACACAUGCAAGUCAACUUGACUGAAGGAGCAAUCUGACAGUAGAGUGGCGCAAGGGUGCGUAACGCGUAAGUAACUUGCCCAAGGUAAGGAAUAACGUCGAGAAAUCGGCGCUAAUACCUCAUAAUGCAGCGGAUCCGCAUGGAUAUGUUGUUAAAGGUUUACCGCCUUGGGAUAGGCUUGCGUCUGAUUAGCUAGUUGGUGUGGUAACGGCACACCAAGGCUACGAUCAGUAACUGGUCUGAGAGGAUGAUCAGUCACACUGGAACUGAGACACGGUCCAGACUCCUACGGGAGGCAGCAGUGAGGAAUAUUGGGCAAUGCUCGAAAGAGUGACCCAGCAACGCCGCGUGGAGGAUGAAGGUAUUCUAUAUCGUAAACUCCUGUGAGAGCAGACGAAAGACAGAUUAUAAUCUGGAUGACUGUAUGCUCAGAGGAAGCCCCGGCUAACU